rnacentral:misc_RNA from 1 species
UCCACAAGAGUUGAUUGGGCAAUUUAACAAUUUAGCUUUAAGCUAUUAAAAUCCUUUACAAUAUUGUCAAAAUACUACACAAAAUGACACUAAUUGAAUCUAACUGCUAUUAGGAUUGAUCAAUUAGGACCCCAACAGCUCAAAUACAUGACUUUUCUCAGUGAUUCCUCAGACUGCUUCAACUUUUUCAAUUCUAAUUUAUUUGCAGAAACCAAAGAAGAAGAAGAUUGAGAAGAGAGCUUCUUGGCCUGUGAAUAUGAGCGUAGGUUGUUCUUUGCGUGCUGAUUUAUGGCUCUAAUUGUGUAAUUCCACCUACAAACUCCUUGAUCUUUUAGUGCUUCGACUACUCCUAAACUUACUGCUGUAACCCAUGCUCUGCUUGUUGAACUCAUUUUCUAAUCUUUAAUUCUUCAAAACUCUUGAAUAUUUAUAUUUGUGAGAGAGUUUAAUUUCUUGCUGAAAUACUUG